CAUUAAAAAUACAUCAGUGAACUAGAUAGGUACUUCAUUAAUAUAUCAAAUCAUUCGCUAAUUUUGUUUUGGUACUCUUGAUUAUUAUUUAUUGCUCAGAUUUCCAUUGUAAUCGAUUAUUACAAAGACUUGUUAGAGGCAUAACUUAACUAGGAUCGUCUACGGCCAUCAUCCUUGACUAUCAAUCAACUAGUAGUCAAUAGCCUAAUUAUAUUCUAUUUUCCUCGAUCAACAGAUAAAAAUGGGUUCGACCGACACAGAAUCUCUAAUAAGUGAUAAGUCUGAAGAACCCCUAAAAGAUAAGGAACCUGAUCCUGAGGUGAUUAUUGAGGAUUCCGGCAAAGAUGAGUCGGACGGGAAGAAGAAGAAAAAGAAGAAACAUAAACAUCAUAGCAAACAUAAAAAACAUUCUGGGGAAAGGAAAAAGCAUAAGAAACACAAAAGCAAGAAAGAAACAGAGAAUGGAGAUAUCAAAGAAAGCAAGAAGGAGAAGAAACCCAAAGAAAAGUUGUCUGUGAUAGUGUCAGGGGAUGGCAGCAAGAGAGAAGUAAAAGGAGAAGGGAAGAAUGGAUCGUUGACAAAUGGAAGUAAGAGUAUAGACUCGGAUGUAGACAUACCUACAGGGCCUUUGGAGGAACAAAUGAACUUAGACGAGCUGAUGAAGCAAAAGGCUCUUCUCCACGCAGCUUUGGGAGCUUAUAUGUCAGGGACGGAUAGUUCCAAUGGGGAACCUGAAGUCAUCAAUUUGGUCGAUGAUGAAUCUGACGAAGGGAGAUACAAGAAACAAAAAAAGCGAGGACGGUCAAGGAGUGCAAGCAAAGAUCGGAAAGUCAGAAGAAGCGACAGCAAGAAAGAUGUGAAAGAAAAGUCCCACAGAGACCGAUCGGCAGAUAGAGAUCCUAGAAAAAAUAGAGAUGACACACGUCGGAAAGAAGAAGAAGAGUAUCGUAAGAGAGAAGCCAGGAGGAAAGAAGAUCAAAGAAAGAGGGAGGAAGAUAUGAAACGUCGUGAAGACGAAAGAAGAAGAGAGGAAAUAAAACGAAGAGAAGAUGACAUCAGAAGAAGAGAGGAAGAUUUCCGUAAAAGAGACGAUGACAGGAGAAGAGAAGAAGACAGACGCAGAGGACGAGAGGGUAGAAGAAGCAGGUCUCUUACAGGUAGAGACAGAGACUCUCGAGAUAGAAUUGAAUCCAGAGACAGACGAGAUGCUAGAGAUCAGAGAGAUGACAGGGACAGAAGAGACAGAGAUAGAGACAGGAGACGAAGAUCGGAUAGUAGAGACAGAUAUCACUCCAGAUCUCACAAGUCAAGUCGUGAUAAGGCGGAUAAAUUCAAAGACAGCUUGUCAGAAGGCUUGAAAGUGGACAAUUCAUCGUCCUCAGAUGAAUUGGAAGACAUAAACAUCGAUGUUGAAGAAGAGGAUGAGGAACAGAUAAUUGAAAAGAGAAGAAAACAGAGAGAGGAAUUAUUGAAGAGGCUGGGAGUCAGUGAAGACUCCAACUUAACCAGCAGUCCUGUAGCACUAGAGCCUCCGCCUGCAGAUGAGCCCCCCAUGGAGCCAGAAGCCCCCGCUCCAGCACCGGCCGCCAAACCCAAGCGCAAGUCUAGGUUUGAACCGGAGACAAAGAAAGAGUCAGAUGGCAAAGCUGACGGGAAAAAUCAGCAGCGGAAAGACGGCAAAUGGGACAUGUUUGCUGAGGCGGACAACUUUGGGAGCCAAGUGAAUAGCCCCAGCAUGGUGGCCAAGGGAGGUCUGCUCCCUGAGAACCCCAGUCUGACAGACAACUGGGACGACGCGGAGGGUUACUACCGUGUCCGCAUCGGGGAGACGAUGGACAACCGUUACGUGGUGUACGGCUACACAGGUCAGGGGGUGUUCUCCAACGUGAUCCGGGCCAGGGACGGAGCCAGAGGCAACCAGGACGUGGCCAUCAAGAUCAUCAGGAACAACGAGAUCAUGCACAAAACAGGUUUAAAGGAGUUGGAAGUCCUGAAGAGACUGAACGACACAGAUCCCGAGGAUAGAUUCCACUGUUUACGACUCUUCAGGCAUUUCUUUCACAAGCAGCACUUGUGUAUGGUCUUUGAGCCGCUCAGUAUGAAUUUGAGAGAGGUGCUGAAAAAGUACGGCAAAGAUGUUGGACUUCAUAUAAAAGCAGUCCGUUCUUAUAGUCAGCAAUUGUUUCUUGCGCUGAAGCUUCUUAAAAAAGCGAAUAUUCUACACGCUGACAUAAAACCAGACAAUAUUUUGGUAAAUGAAAACAAACUGGUGCUUAAACUGUGUGAUUUUGGUUCUGCAUCACAUGUAGCAGAAAAUGAAAUUACUCCUUACUUAGUGAGUCGAUUCUACAGAGCUCCAGAAGUCAUUCUAGGCAUCCCGUAUGACUUUGGUGUGGACAUGUGGUCGGCCGGAUGUACAAUUUAUGAGUUGUACACUGGGAAAAUUAUGUUCUCUGGAAAAUCCAACAAUCAGAUGCUCAAGUAUUUCAUGGAUUUCAAGGGUAAAUUCCCAAACAAGUUGAUCAGAAAAGGAGCUUUCAAAGAUCAACAUUUUGACCACAACUGUAACUUCUUGUCUCAUGAAGUUGAUAAAGUCACAGAGAGAGAAAAAGUGGUAACCAUGUCCACAAUCAACAUAACGAGGGAUUUGCAGAGUGAGUUGGUCGGCAACCAACACCUCCCUGACGACCAAGCUCGCAAGGUCAACCAGCUGAAGGACUUGCUGGAGAAGAUAUUGAUGCUGGACUCCAGCAAACGGAUACCGAUAAAUCAGGCGUUGCUGCAUUCCUUCAUCCAAGAGAAGAUUUAGUGUCCGCAGAGAUGACCUGACUCUACUAGGCCUACCUCUUGAGUUCCUGACAGUAAAACAGUCAAGAAGUACGUAGCGUGCUAGAGCUGCGGCAAGGCACUGUCUCGCUUGCUUAGCUCGCUCAAAGGAGACGAGACAUUGAUGUUCUGCUUCAAGUCUCUAAAAGUUGUGGAUAUAAAAAACUCACUGGAUUGCCAGAAACGAAUUUGAUACUUAACUUUAAGGAUUUGUGAUCAAACUGAGUUUAUUUUGUCAACAUCCAAGUAAGCAAAAGGACAGAAAAGUUGUGGUAUGUAUUGAGACAAAAUGAGGUAAGUGGACAUCAAGAACGGUAAGUACUUAACAACUUUUAAUAUAGAUCUUGGAAAAUAAUAAAGUAAAUGUUAGCUGUGGCAAGUUCUUGUUCAUGCAUUAAAAUUCUUCUGUUUCGUCUUGGAUAAAAUAACUCACAGUAUCUUUGUUUAGUUUGUAAAUCUUUCCAUAAGAUCCCACCUGAAAUCUGCCAAUCGUGCCUGUCGUCUCCCAAACCGGUCCGACAUCUGCCAAUUGCUCUCAGAGUCAUUUGAUAUCUGACGAUUGCACCAGACAUCUCCCAAUCCCAUUAGGUAUUUGAUUAUCCUGCCUGACAUCUCCUGGAUCCCGCCUCACAUCUACCGAUCCCCCAUAAAAUAUUAAAAUAUUGUAAAAUAAAAUAUUGUUUAUCAACCUGGUUCAAAUAAUUUAUAAGUUAAAUUUUGGCUUAAUUUCAGCAAAAUGUAAAUUUUUAUUUGAUUAAAUAUUUGUUUGUUUGUAAUAACACGAUUUAUAAAAGUGAGAUGACUUUUGUCUGAUGUCAAAUAAUUCUGAUGACUUUAUUUUUUCCUUAGGUAUUCAAUUUCUAAUUUCGGCAAGGUAUUGUUGCUGUGAAGCCACAUGGUGGUCAAGUCUAUACAAGGCAAGGUAU